GCAGAGGAAAACUCCCCAGACUUGUGUGACAGGGCUCUGCGGACCCGCAGCCCCGGGAUGGUGCCGGUGCCCCUUGCCGUGCCCGGGCAGAGCGCAGCGGGUCCCUGCCACCCCGCACACCUCGCCCGGGGCCACACCAGCCGGACAGCCAGAGCCGCACGCCAGCUUUGUGGGAAGGGGGAUGCAAGACCGCUGCGCCCAGCAGAAUCGUACCUCCAGUUCAUGCACUUGGAGGCACCCAGGGAAGGAUUCAGAGUUGGUACUUCGAAGUCUCUUGCCUGAAGGACAGCUGCUCUUCACUUUCCAGGGUCCCAUUUCAACUGAAGAUGUGAAAAAUUAAAUCUUGGUGUACCUCUUUAUAAUCAGGGCUCCCUGCUGCUCCUGACACCAUCUUGCUCUCAGUUCUUCAUCAUUACUUCUAAUGGUUGGUAGGCAAAACCACCAGGUUUUUGCAGCAGACUCACAUACUGGGGUGAAGAUGUACAAUUUGGCAGCUUUUAGACAUAUAAGGUUUAGUGAGAUGAAUCCCUACCCUUCUUGUCCUUGCAUCUCAUUUAAACGACUCCGCUGUAAGAUCCAGAGUUUGCUUCUGCAUGUACUUAUGAGAAAACUGAAAGAAACGGGAGCAUAUGCACAAUUUAGGUUUAGAAGUCAGAAAAAUGGUUUUUCCUCACUAUUCAUCCAUCCUAAAAAAAGAUGUACCUCUGUGACCACGGGUUGUCUGCAUACCACCGGCCAAAGGCACAGGGCUAAGGCUGUUAAAACAAAUAACCUUCACUGAAACAAAAGAAGAAAAUCAUCCUUUCAGCAGGAGGAACAGCAAAUGAGGGUGUUUUGUUGGUGCACUGCAGCCUCCUGCUCCUCACCCUUGAAUCUCAGAAAGUGUUGCUGGAACGCCCAUGCUACAGGCACGUCCCAGAUAAGCUACACUUUCCUCCCUGUCCAUGGUCUUGGAAAACCUCUGCUUCUUUCACCAUACAGGUACUUUUCCUCUGUGACCUCCUAAUUAACCAUCACCUUAUGGGAGAUUGUAUGAUUCAUUAGGUGAAGAUGAAAAGAAGGAAAACAAUGAUCAUGAGUUGCUAGGGGGAAUGUGGACUUGGUUUUGGCAAAUCUGAUUUUUGUUUAUUUUUUCUUGGCUUGUGUUUCUGUAUCUGAUGGGGCUCUUAGUCACCUUCAGAGUGCGCUGUACUCAGAGCAGCCCUGCUGCAGGCACUCAGCUUUUUCAUAUUGAGUAAAAGGAAGCAUAGUUUUGGGGAUGAUUUCUGUACACUGCAGAAAGGGAGUGCUUUUCCAUGACCACAAGAUAAGCUCUUGCCUGCACUAUGGCCUUGACUGUGUUCCUAUGCUCUAUACAAUUUAUCAUUCUUGAUGCCAUACAUUAACACACACUGCUGUUUCACAUUUCUAGCUCUGUCCAUCUCUAAGCAGGGUCCUCACAACAGCUGACGUAACAGGCAACCAUGCUAUUUGGGGAGCCGGUGUGUUUGGCAGUUAGUCAUGCACUUGGUGGCGUUUCUGCUUUUUUCCGUUAUUCUUUUUCGCUUUUUUUAACAAGAAUCGUUUAAGGAUUACUUUAUGUAUAGAACCAUUGCCAAUAUUUUCUAUAACCAUCAAGUAAGAGCAAGUAUUUUCCACAUGCCUAGAACUAAAGCCAUUUCUUUAGGAACUAAAGAGUCACUGGAGUGAAAUUUAAGAACAUUAUCAAUGACUUGGAAGCUCAUUUAAAAAUUCAUUUUCAAGGCAGGAUUAAAGGGAACUCUCUGUGGAUGUAUUCACAUUUUCAUUAAGCAUGCUCCCUUGCUACACUGUUGGUUAACAGUUAUUACACUGUCAAGUUGUUAUUUUAAGAAUCCAUUCAGGGAUCUUGAGCUCCAGUACAAAACCAUAUGGUCUAUCAACACAUGCCUUUAUGCUCCUCCACAAACUACGCAAAGCACCUUGAAAUCUGUUAACUAAAUGUAGGUGCAAACCAUACCACCAAUCCCUAAGCAUUACUGAGUGUUGGUGGUGGUAUAGGAAGGCACUUGGGUGGCAUGGGUGAGAAAUUAAUUUCUAUAACAACUAUGGUGCCUUGAUUGUUUUGGUUUUUGUCUUCCUACUGAUAUACAAAGACUUGAACUUUUUUACAAGAACAAACUUGUGUAUGCUUAUGUUGUAACUGAGGGGAUAGGUCACCAGCUUAGGAUGUGGAGCACAGAGAUUCAAGUAUCUGCUCUACCUCAUUUAAGGCACAGCUCUUUGCCUUCGCCCUCCUCAUUCAGGAAUUGGAAGGUUGUGGGGGUUUUUCUGGGUACGCUGCACACAGCAACUCUGUAUGGCUGUUGAGCUAUGCAGCACUUGUGUGGUGGCGGUGUGUGCUUCUCUAUCUCCUGGCUGAUAACCAGCCUGCAUUUCUGACAAAGGCUCUCUUCAAACACAAAACAUUUUUUGUAAAAUGUUUUGUUUCCUACUGAACAUAUUUUGCCAAAGCUUGAUCUCAUCAAAGCUAGCCUGACGGAUCUUAUUUACCACUCUAAGGAGGUGCUGACCAUCUUACCUGCUCUGCUACAGGCUUUCUGAUUACACAGCAUAUGGAAUCCCUGGAAGAACUGUGCAAAUCUUUGGAAUCUCUAAUUUCAGACACAGGAAGUCCGUAUAAUAAAUGAGUCCAAAUUUGGCUAAUUUGGUGUGUGGAAAUUAUGGUUCAAUAUUUUACUGCAUAUCACUUUCACAUCAAUUUAGCUUUGAGCAGGAUAGUUAAUGCAAGUUUUAUUUAUGAGUGAAUACUGAUGUUUGAUUCUAUGUUUAGAGAAAAAGACUACAGUAAUACCUAUUUUCUGAUCUGAGUGGGAAUAACUUGCUCCAUCUUUUUUCUUAAAGUGGAUGGGUAACCUAGAAUUCAUUUUGUGCCAUCCAUACCCAUUAAGUCAGCCAACUAUUAAGAUUUUAGUAUGAGAAGAACUUUAAAUAGUCAUUCAUUUGGCCCCACGUCCUUUCAUCUGUGUCGAAGUACAUACUUCAAAUCCUAAUUCUUCAAAAGCUUAUGUGUGUGACUACUCCCACCAAGGUUAACAGGAGUUGAUUUGUACAAUGUUAGCAGAGCACAUAGAAUUCUUCGUAGACUAGUUGCUCUAAUUGGUGCUGCAUGGGGAACAUAAUUCUUCACUAAUCAGGGACCAAAGCAAAAACUAGUGUAAUGUAGACACUUAUAAUAAAAUACUGCUAGGGCCUUUGAAUGAAAGAAUACUAUACCUGUCUGUAUUUUCAUGACAUUUUCACAACAGAACUGCAUUUCCAGCCCAUUGGAAACACCUGUGAGUUGUACCUGACCAUCAUGGUUGCUUUUUGAAGAAACUGGGAAACUGGAGAAUUGACUAGCCCUGCAGUGAAGGCACAGGCAUAGGGGUGGAGUAGUAGUAAUAGCAGAAAACAGAGAAAAUAAAAAAUGGCUAGAAAUGCUGGGAAUGAUGUGGGCUUUUUUUCUGGACAUGCCUAAGCAUAAUAUUACAGCACAUUUCACAGCUAACCAGUGAUUGCAUGCACUAGUUGUAGUCUCUAGGCAGGGAUUACUCAUUUCAUACACCAUUUAGAAUCAAUUGUAGUGAUUCUGCAAAGUCAGUACAUACCCUGGAUGCAAGAUUAGGAGAAAGUGUUUUUGUUUCAAAGUCUUUUGAUGUUUCUGUUUUGAAGUAUUUCAAUUUUCCUUAGACAGCACCCCAACUGGCUGAUGAUAUGCAACAGAUUAGAUUCUCUUUUGGAAAAUAAAACUUUGUCAAAUGAAACUAAAUCUUUUCCAGUCUCAUGACAAUACAGACACGCCUAACCGCUUCAUCCUGGAAGGCUAAAUGAAGUUGAGGGUUUGCAAGCAUUGUUAAAUAGGACUUGUAGAGGAAGGCAAGCAUAUACAUUUGAAGUACGAAUAUUCAGAACGGUCAGAAAUACAACAGCCAUUUAUGUUUGCAGAGGGUUACAUAUAUGUGUGUGUAUCCUCACAGAGUUCUCCUAAUCUUCUGGGUAAUGAGAAAUACUGUAUGUUCCCUCCGUAGAAAGUAGUGACUAAAAGACUCUGCCACGCGUCCCUCUCAGGUGGGCAUCCUAGGCUGUCACAUAAGGCACUAGAACAGCAGAAAAGUUCUGGUUUCCUGGGCACCCUAAAUAAAGCUAAAACUUGUAGUCUGAAGAACAUUUACAAUAUUUUGGAGGAACCUAAGGCAGGCUUGUAGCAUGAGUUUGACAACUGCAGAGAAAUUAUACUGCACAUAGGUCAGUUUUGACUAGCUGCUUAUGACUUUUCAAAAUAUUUAUGAGCAGUCAAAUGUUAUUUUCAAUAAAAGUAUCAGUAUUAGGAUUCAGAAUCAUUGUUUAAGAUUUUAUAAUUGUAUGUUCAUAGUCAUGGUAUUUCAGUAGAGAAGUCCUUAAAGUGCUUCAUCAGUGUUAAAUUGAACUAAAGUCAUCCUAUGCUUUCCAUUGCCUCUCAAAACUUUUCAGUCUUAAGGUAAUUUCAUGUCACAUUAAACUGUUCGUUAAAAGGCCUAACAAUUUUGAAGGAUUUGAUUACAAUAAUUUUCCAUUUGUUUCUGGCAUGCUGUGGUCUCAUAAUUGGAAAUACUAACAUAUGGAUUGUCCCCAAACAUAGUUCAUGCUUCAUAGUUCACGAUUUCUUAAGUUUGUCAAUCAGAAUAUUUUGAUAACAUUCAUUACAUCAAUGCCAGUGGAAAACAACAGUAGAAAACUGAAAUUUAGAGAAAAUAUUACUCAAGUUGCACAGAAUCUUCUGUUUGAGCAUGGAUGUUUUUGUUUGUUUGCAUCUCUCAUGCAUUUAAACAGUCAAUGGAUUAAUUCUAUUGUUGCUUAAACCCACAUGAUUUCAUCCUUUCUUGCAAUAUUUAGUUCUAUGAAGCCAGACAUGAGUAUGUGGCCUUUAGCAUAUCUUCUUCUCUUAUGAGCAUGUGUAAGGAAGUUUGAAAGUGAUAUGUUAUUCUCCUCAUGUUAGAAAUGGCAAAACUAAGGCAAUGAGAAAAAAAUACGGGUUGUUCAGAGACACCCAUCAGGCCAAGGGCAGAACAAGAACUGGACAUCAGGCCUCCUGCGUUUGAUCACAUCAGUGCUGUAGCACUAGAGAAAACUCUGUACUUCUGUGUGUGUUCCUGGGCAGCACACAAGCAAAGGGAGACCAGGAAAACACAAGCAGAAUUUCAUUAGCAGACUGCCCUUCCCCUUGCAUAUCUUAGCAAAGUUUUUGUCAAAGUCGAGUCCCUGUGUUUCCAUUGGGUUGUGAAUUGCUGGGCCAUACAUGCCCAAUGGCAGAGCAUGUACUCUGUCAGGCACCAGGGUUAAGGGAGGGAGUUUGCCUACACAAUCCUCUAGCUACAAUUAAAACUACUCUAUCUUCAUCAAUACAGGUAUUAAUGACAUUGGCAUUCAGUACCUUAUUUCUUGAUCCCUUGCUGCCUCUUUCUCCUUACCUUUAGAUACGUGAUAGGAAAUGGUCUUCUGAGGCACUUUUGCAUUACAACCGUUCCUCUUGAACUAUAGGAGAUGAAUGAUGUCUAGGAAAACAGUCAUGGGUUUUAUGAUUACUACAGAUGUUUGCAAGACCUUCCUUUCAGACAGUGGAAGUUCGAGGUGAAGCAGAAGAUUAAACUUAAGCACGAACAGCUGCAGCUCAAUGUGUCUUCUAGUAGACACAAGGGUACUUUGGGGGGAAGGAUCCUUUUCCUCUGCCUCUGAAGUGAAGAUAUAUGUGGCUUGUUGAUGGAAGACUUUGAGAAGACUGCUAGGUGCACAGAGGAUGUUGAGCGAUUUGAGCAUAGCACAAUGACACUGGUGAUUUCAAGUGCUCAGAACUCAGCCCAGCCUUGCAUCUUGUGGCAAUCUGAGCACUAGGAGAAGGCAGG